rnacentral:rRNA from 1 species
GCGUAACGAUCUCCACACUGUCUCGGCCAGAGACUCGGUGAAAUUGCAGUCGCGGUGAAAAUUCCGUGUACCCGCAGAAAGACGGAAAGACCCUGUGCACCUUUACUAUAGCUUGACAUUGGAUUUUGGGCCUGCAUGUGUAGGAUAGGUGGGAGGCUGCGAACCCUGUACGCCAGUAUGGGGGGAGCCAUCCUUGAAAUACCACCCUUGCAUGUUUAAGAUCCUAACUUCUUCCGGUUAUCCCGGAGAAAGACAGUGUCUGGCGGGUAGUUUGACUGGGGCGGUCGCCUCCUAAAGUGUAACGGAGGCAUGCAAAGGUUCCCUCAGCCUGAUCGGAAACCAGGCGCUGAGUGCAAACGCAUAAGGGAGCUUGACUGUAAGAGAGACAUCUCGAACAGGAACGAAAGUUGGCGUUAGUGAUCCGGUGGUCCCGAAUGGAAGGGCCAUCGCUCAUUGGAUAAAAGGUACGCCGGGGAUAACAGGCUGAUCGCAUCCAAGAGUUCACAUCGACGAUGCGGUUUGGCACCUCGAUGUCGGCUCAUCACAUCCUGGGGCUGAAGCAGGUCCCAAGGGUACGGCUGUUCGCCGUUUAAAGUGGUACGCGAGCUGGGUUUAAAACGUCGUGAGACAGUUUGGUCCCUAUCUUCUGUGGGCGAAGGAGAAUUGAGAGGGCCUGUCCCUAGUACGAGAGGACCGGGAUGGACGCACCCCUGGUGAUCCUGUUGUCGCGCCAGCGGCAUAGCAGGGUAGCUAUGUGCGGAAGGGAUAACCGCUGAAAGCAUCUAAGCGGGAAGCCUGCCUCAAGAUAAGUUCUCCCCUCGAAAGAGCUGAAGGGCCCGGGUAGACUACCCGGUCGAUAGGCUGGAGGUGUAAGCGCGGCGACGUGCUCAGCUGACCAGUACUAAUAGCCCGAGCGGCUUAUUUUU